rnacentral:lncRNA from 1 species
CAGAGUAGGAAUUGCCCUCAAAAUUGGAAGGAAAAAAAAAAACCUCUGGUUCUUUUCAACAGCAGCCGCGAAAGAAGAGGGAAUGGAGGGAGCGAGGAGUGGGAUUCCUUCGCUUAUUAUUUCCUCCUCUCCGCAGGAGGGAGAAGAUAGCCUCCGGCAUUACAGAGGUAUCCCUCUUUCUUGCUUUGCUUGGCUUCUUUUAAGCUUCAAUUUGGUCCGACUCUAAGCUGAUGAUACAUUUAGCCUGUAUGCUUUGUCUUGAUGCGAGUUCUCUUUUUUCUCCCUUUCUUGGUCUACUGUUUCUUGAUGUUUUUCGAGGGUUAUUUAUUGAUGUGGGUUCUUGUUUUCUUUUCUUCUCGAUUUUUUUUUUGUUUUUUAUUUUUUGUCUGUGUGUGUUCAACUUGAUUGAGAAGUUAAAAACUGGUAGAGCGUUCACGCAGACGAAGUCUAAGACUGGUGAAGCAGUUCAAUUUUUUUUUUAACCUCCUCUGUCUCCGUGAAGAUAUCUGCUCAAUAAUUGAUGAAUAGUCUGGAUCUACUUGGUCCAGGGGUUUUCUUGAUUUGAAUUUGGUUUGCCAACAAAAGAACAAGAUGAGAGGAGUUGUUCAUCCGUUUCCAAUUGGUUUUUCCUUUUAUGAUGUUUUCGGUUCAUUGGCUUGGUAUAAUUGAUGUGUUUCUUUUUGCGUCGUCGGUCUGAUAAAUGCCCACUCCAAAUACCAUGAGAAAGCUUCUUCGUUAUUAUUUUGGUAACUUAGAAAGCUAUCCUUUCUUGCAAUCUGUUUUCUUAACCUAUUUGUCUGCAUAGUAUUCCCCAAUUAUGUCAUCAUGAAUAACGUGAAAUAUAUGACGGGUUCACGCAUAGCCAGUAGCUAACUAUACAACUGUAGUCAAUCCACUUCAAUGCCAUGAAAAUUGAAAAGUACUACUUAGAUCUGUUUGGAAAGGAUAGGAUUGGCCCAAAUCCUAAAUAAAAAUUUUAUUUUCUUUUCUAAGCACUGUUUGGAUGAUCUAAUUGUGAAAUAAAAGAACAAUGAGAAGUAGUUAAUCCCAUAGAAAAAUAAUAAUGACCUCGGGAGGUCAUUAUUGUUUUCCCACAAUUACCGGGCAAAGUGGACAUUUUUUUUGUCCAUGACCCUGUUUCGGGAGGUAGUGUAACAGGUGCUGGGAUAUAUUUCAAGAUGAAAAAUCCAGCUCUGGAGAUCAUCAGUGUUGAGCCUGCAGAAAGUGCACUUAUUUCCGGUAUAACUUACUAAUUUACAGGCUUUAUUAAUUUAGAUGAUAGGAAUAUGCCAAGCAACAUGACUGCAGAAAUUACGGCCUGGUUUUGUUCCAAGAAACCUGGAUACAUCAUGGAUGCAUCCAUGAUGUCACCACUGUGACCACAUGAGAAGCGAUGACUAAUGCAAGAAUGCUGGCAAGGGAAGAGGGCUUACCUGGCAUAUCUUCUGGAGCCAAUUGAGCCGCCCGUUUAAAGGUUGUUUCUGUCAUCUGCAGUGCAAACGUAAAGGCACACUCCCUACGGUUUCAAAGCAACCCAAAGUUUACAGGUUGCGAGUACUAG